GCGGUCGUGGUGGAAUUGGUAGACACGCCAGCUUGAGGUGCUGGUUCCUGCAAGGGAAUGAAGGUUCAAGUCCUUUCGACCGCA
rnacentral:tRNA from 1 species